GACGAACGCUGGCGGCGUGCUUAACACAUGCAAGUCGAACGGAAAGGCCCUGCUUUUGUGGGUUUCUCGAGUGGCGAACGGGUGAGUAACACGUGAGUAACCUGCCCUUGUCUUUGUGAUAACUUCAGGAAACUGGGGCUAAUACCGGAUAGGAGCUCCUGCUGCAUGGUGGGGUUUGGAGAGUUUCGGCGGUUGUGGCUGGACUCGCGGCUUAUCAGCUGGUUGGUGGGGUAGUGGCUUACCAAGGCUUUGACGGGUAGCCGGCCUGAGAGGGUGGCCGGCCACAAGGGGACUGCGAGACGGCGCAGACUCCUACGGGAGGCAGCAGUGGGGAAUAUUGCACAAUGGGCGGAAGCCUGAUGCAGAAACCCCGCGUGCGGAAUGACGGCCUUCGGGUUGUAAACCGCUUCCGCCUGUAACGAAGCCUGAGUGACGGUAAUGGGUAAAGAAGCACCGGCUAACUACGUG
rnacentral:rRNA from 1 species